GAUGAACGCUGGCGGCGUGCCUAACACAUGCCAGUCGAGCGAAAAGAUGCGGAGCUUGCUCCUCUGACGUUAGCGGCGGACGGGUGAGUAACACGUGGAUAACCUACUUAUAAUACUGGGAUAACUUCGGGAAACCGGCGCUAAUACCGGAGAAUAUAUUGAACCGCAUGGUGCAAUAGUGAAAUACGGCUUUGCUGUCUCUUAUAGAUGGUUCCGGGCCGCAUUAGCUAGUUGGUAAGGUAACGGCUUACCACGGCGACGAUGCGUAGCCGAGGUGAGAGGGUGAUCGGCGACAUUGGAGCUGAGCCACGGUCCAGAGGCCUACGGGAGGCAGCAGUAGGGAAUCUGCCGCAGUGGGCGAGAGCCUGACGGAGCAACGGCGCGUGAGUGAUGAAGGUCUUCGGAUCGUAAAACUCUGUUACUAGUGGAGAACAAAUGUGUAAGUAACUAUGCACGUCUUGACGGUACCGGAUCAGAAAGCACCGGCUAACUACGUG
rnacentral:rRNA from 1 species